GAAGCUCACCAAGGCCUCAACACUGGCAAAAUGCAGGCCCUACUAUUCCUGAUGGCACUUCUCUUGCCUGCUGGAGCUGGAGCUGUCAACAGAGAAAUCACUGUCACCCUCGGAGCACAUGAUGUGAACAAGACAGAAUCCACACAACAGAAGAUAAAAGCUUGAAGAGCAAGCUGAGUUGACUUCUGCUGUGGAUGUAAUUUCCCUGCCUGGUCGCUCUGACCUUAUCAAGCCUGGGAAGAUGUGCCUGACAGCUGGGUGGGGCCUAACUGGAGUGGCAGAUCCUUCUUCAGAUACACUCAAGAAAGUGAAACUGAGAAUCAUGAAUGAAGAGGCCAGUAAAGGAUAAAGGCAUUAUGACAAUAGCUUCCAGGUCUUCGUGGGCAGUCCUAGAAGGAAGAGAUCACCAUAUGAGGGAGACUCCGAGGGACCUCUACUGUGUGCUGGGAUGGCCCAUGGUAUUGUAUCUCACGAUUGUGAAGACGCAAAGCUCCUGCAGUCUUCACCCGAAUCUCCUCAUAUGUACCCUGGAUUAAUAAAGUCAUAAAGAGCUUGUAGGUAAGAAGCCUGACCUGCAUGAGUCAGAGUCUCCAAGAGAGAGCUCUUCUGAUAACCCAUGGGUUCAACAAAGGCCUUCCGAAGCUGUUCCAAGGCUGUCUCCAGUCUGUUCCCAGUCUGUUCCCAGUCUGUUCCCAGCUGGUCCCCAGCCUUCCCCCGGCUUCACCCCAGCCUGUCUGAACCUUGGAGGAUCUCAAAAAUACACAAGUCUGUGAUGAUGGACUGUUCCCUGUAA